rnacentral:rRNA from 1 species
CCUACGGGAGGCAGCAGUGGGGAAUAUUGCACAAUGGGGGAAACCCUGAUGCAGCGACGCCGCGUGAGCGAUGAAGUAUUUCGGUAUGUAAAGCUCUAUCAGCAGGGAAGAAGAUGACGGUACCUGACUAAGAAGCCCCGGCUAACUACGUGCCAGCAGCCGCGGUAAUACGUAGGGGGCAAGCGUUAUCCGGAUUUACUGGGUGUAAAGGGAGCGUAGACGGCGAUGCAAGCCAGAUGUGAAAGCCCGGGGCUCAACCCCGGGACUGCAUUUGGAACUGUGUGGCUGGAGUGUCGGAGAGGCAGGCGGAAUUCCUAGUGUAGCGGUGAAAUGCGUAGACAUUAGGAGGAACACCAGUGGCGAAGGCGGCUUACUGGACAGUAACUGACGUUGAGGCUCGAAAGCGUGGGGAGCAAACAGGAUUAGAUACCCUAGUAGUC